CAAUUCUAUACGGUUUGAAUGUGUCAUGUGGGCCAAGUGGAAGAAAAUGUAAACUUUAAUUGAUAAUUGUCCCUUAAGGUGGCCCCCACACCAUAUUCAUGUACAGCUUUCUUGAUAAACCGAAGAAUUGGAUAAACAUCAUUAUAACUAAAAUCAACGUAUUUGUAUAAUGUCUAUUAAUAUUUUGCGAUGGAUUGAAUGCUAAUAUUUAUUACAAUAGAGAAUCAAGGUCCCUGGUCUUGCCUAUAAAAGGGGCCUGUGCACAUCCAUCAGUAUGUCCCGUAAGGUUAGGAAAAGACUAGAGGUCCCUUUUCUCACUAAAGUGUUUCUUGUCAAGUUAUCUUGAUCGGGACUUUAACACUGGAGCUUAAAAGACAAAAGACAUUCACUAUGACAGGAGGUAUACAUUCCUAUUUCUGGUGCUCUAUAUAUGAUAUUCGGAUUAUUAAUAUAUGUUUAAGGCUUUCAUAUAGUAUGUGCUAAAUACUAGUUAACAAAAUAAGCAAAAAGAGAGAAAGGUUGCGAUCACUUUCGUAGAAAAGAAUAUUUUGUUUUAUCUAGCUUAGCAAUGAACCAAAUAUGUGUAGAAGAAAAACAGAUGUGUAGUAGACAACAUCUUGAUUGUGGUUUUUGCCUUUUGUCAAAGAUCUCCUCUU
rnacentral:lncRNA from 1 species